AAUCAACGCUGGCGGCGUGCCUCAGACAUGCAAGUCGAACGCGAAAUUUCCCUUCGGGGAGAAAGUAGAGUGGCGCACGGGUGAGUAACACGUAGGUAAUUUGCCUUUGGGUGGGGAAUAACUCAGGGAAACUUGAGCUAAUACCGCAUAAUGCAGCGGCUCGACAUCGAGACAGUUGUUAAAGCGGGGGAUCGCAAGACCUCGCGCCUGAAGAGAAGCCUGCGGCAGAUUAGCUAGUUGGUAAGGUAAUGGCUUACCAAGGCGACGAUCUGUAACCGGCCUGAGAGGGCGGUCGGUCACACUGACACUGACAUACGGGUCAGACUCCUACGGGAGGCAGCAGUCGGGAAUUUUGGGCAAUGGGCGAAAGCCUGACCCAGCAACGCCGCGUGAAGGAUGAAAUCCCUCGGGAUGUAAACUUCGCAAGAACGGGAAGAAUAAGUGAAAGUUAAUAUCUUUCAU
rnacentral:rRNA from 1 species